GCACCCCUAGUUCACAGGGCGGAGCGCCACGAUUCGAACGUGGGCGGCGAGGGUUCGAGUCCUUCGGGGUGCACCA
rnacentral:tRNA from 1 species